rnacentral:rRNA from 1 species
CCUACGGGAGGCAGCAGUAGGGAAUCUUCCACAAUGGGCGAAAGCCUGAUGGAGCAACGCCGCGUGAGUGAUGAAGGCCUUCGGGUUGUAAAACUCUGUCAUUCGGGACGAACCGGAGUCUGAGGAAAUGCAGACUCUCUGACGGUACCGGAGGAGGAAGCCCCGGCUAACUACGUGCCAGCAGCCGCGGUAAUACGUAGGGGGCAAACGUUGUCCGGAUUCACUGGGCGUAAAGCGCGCGCAGGCGGUGAUGUAAGUCUGAGGUGAAAACCCGAAGCUCAACUUCGGGACUGCCUUGGAUACUGCGUCACUUGAGGAUAGGAGAGGCAAGGGGAAUUCCACGUGUAGCGGUGAAAUGCGUAGAGAUGUGGAGGAACACCUGUGGCGAAGGCGCCUUGCUGGCCUAUUUCUGACGCUGAGGCGCGAAAGCGUGGGGAGCAAACAGGAUUAGAUACCCUGGUAGUCCACGCUGUAAACGAUGAGUGCUAGGUGUAGGUGGGCUCAUACCCAUCUGUGCCGAAGCUAACGCAUUAAGCACUCCGCCUGGGGAGUCGGUCGCAAGCUGAAACUCAAGGAUUGACGGCUUGNGAGNGCGAGGCGACACGAGGGAGUAGG